rnacentral:sRNA from 1 species
AGUUAGACCUCGUCCGAACACAAGCUCGCAAACAUACCAGACGGCAUAUGAAACAAAUUAUUGGGGAUAGAGUAGAAUCUCUUGUGAUAUAUUUUGUGACAGAGUUAUGUCCUAUAAUUUAGGGAUUCGAGUUUAUUUUAUACGAUGACUCUCUUGUAUAAAUAUCACACUUUGUGAAUCAAUAAACUCAAGUUAGUGCAAUACCUAAUUCUACAUGGUAUCAGAGCUCUAAAGAUCUAAACCUAUAAAAAAUUUCGUUUCUUAUUCGAUAGUUUCGAAUUCGUUUCCGCUUUUCUCUUUAAAACCUUGUUUCUUGCAUGUCAAGAAAUCAUGUCUAUUCCAGAAGAAGUCUCCUCUGCAACACAUCCACGUACCAAUCAACAA